AGCACUUUGACUGCUGCAUGUUCUUGUCCUUUGAUCGGCGACGAUCAAAGGAAACAUGCAGUGGGCU
rnacentral:sRNA from 1 species